CGGGGCAGACGCAGAGGGAGUGAGGGCAGGGGAAGGAGGCGGAGGAGGAGCGGCAGGAGGAGGGCUCCGGGAGAAACCGACGAAGGCAGGAAGAGGAGGAGGAGGAGGUGGAGGCAGAGGCGGGCCAGGCCGGCCCCCUGGGUUCCCGGGUCGUGGGCGUUCCUGAGGCCGCAGAGCCCUAGGUCCCUCACCCAGCUCUGCUUCACUUGGAGCAGUACCAAGGUCUCAGGGCCUACUGUGCAGUUCCUGGUUUACAGUCCCGAGCAAAGACAGAGCCCAAGCCCUGCGGUCUUGGGUAUCAAACAAUCCCGGGAUGGCCAAACAAGCGAAUAUUCGCCAUGGCAGUGGCAGCUGGAAGGGUGGCUCACGGAGCUGACGCCCUCCGCAGAGGGCUUCCAGGUAAUAGGAUCCCAUCCCAGAAAUCACAUUUCGUAUUGUUCUUCCUUAGACUCAUCUUUGUGGGGACAGUUUCAGGACCAAACUUUUACGGACCUUGAGUGUUUUGAGCAGUACUAAACAGAUAUUUCUUUACUUUUUGGCACUACAAGAUUCUCCAGUUUCAUCAUACAUCCAGUUCCAGCCCAAGAUUCAACCAUUUCUUCAAGGAGCCCUUGCUCUUAUGGAAUUAAUAAUCAAAUUCUUGUCACUAGGUUCUUAAGGAAUAUUUUUGUUAGUGUAUAUGUUUGUUGAUAGGAUAUUGAUAAUCAUUCCUCUAGUGAUUACCAGGCGUAACCUUUGGCAAAUUUUAAACAUGGAAAUGAUAAUUUCUACUUCAUAGGAUUGUUGCACAUUUUAAAUGGAUUGACUAGAAUAGUGCAUGGAGUAAAACAAAACAAACAGUAACUCUAAAUGGUGUUAUUACAAAUUCAUUGGAAAUAAACAAACAUAACUUUGUUUCCA
rnacentral:lncRNA from 13 species